UCUGUAGUGUAGUGGUAGCACGCUCCUCCCGUGUGCGUGAGACACGGGUUCAACUCCCGCCUGCGGAC